UACAGAGGGGGCAAGCGUUGUUCGGAAUUACUGGGCGUAAAGGGCGCGUAGGCGGCCUGUUAAGUCGGACGUGAAAUCCCUCGGCUCAACCGGGGAACUGCGUCUGAUACUGGCGGGCUUGAAUUCGGGAGAGGGAUGUGGAAUUCCAGGUGUAGCGGUGAAAUGCGUAGAUAUCAUUUGGAACGCCAAUGGUGAAAACAGGUAGCUGGGAGUGUGCUGACGCUGAGACACGAAAGCCAGGGGAGCGAACGGG
rnacentral:rRNA from 1 species